rnacentral:lncRNA from 1 species
AUUUUCUAAUAUUUCUUUUCCUUGUAUUUUAGCCUUAUUUAAUAUAAUUUUAGAAAAACUUCAAAUAUCACCCAUGUGGUUUCUCACUUCCUUACCCUGUGGUUUAAAAUGUAUUAUUUUUGUAUCUGUGGUUUUAUUUUUUCUCAUUUUGUUAUCCUCUCCACAAUUUUUUUUUUAUUAAAUCAGUGACAACGUUAAAACUAAAGGAUACUAAAGUAAAUAUUCAAUAAACUAUAUAUGGGGUAUCUGGGUUUUUUGUAUAUAAUUUAAAGAAAAGUUAACGGAGGGGUCGACGAAAAGAGAAAAAUAAAAUCAUAAGAUAUUAAAUUAAUAUAUUUUAAACUAUAGGAUACUAAGGUGAGAAAGUACGAAACCACAUGGGUGAGU